GUGCACCCAUACACCCAUACACACACACACACCAAGUCUCAGCCCGCACACGCCUAAAGGCCUCUACAUCGGGCACAUACGUGCAAUCAAUACACUUUUUGCACACAUAUGCUUCGCCACGUAUGCUCGUCCGCCGUCGUGGCCUGCAGUGCUGGCCUGGCGCCGAUCAGCUGCCGCCGUGUAGGGUCGACGAGCUACUUCUCGGCCGUGCCGCGCGCGCCUCCGGAUGCCAUCAUGGGCAUUGCUGCGGACUUCGCCAAAGACAUGUGUCCAAACAAGGUAAACCUUUGCGUCGGAGUCUACCGUGAUGAGCAGAACAAGCCCUUUGUGCUGGAGUCCGUGCGCAAGGCAAUGUCGCACAUUGUGGAGCGCGACACGCAGAUGGACUACGCGCCCAUUGCGGGUCUGCCAUCCUUCGUGAAUAGCGUGCAGCGGCUAUGCUUUGGAAAGCCAAUGCUGGACGUUCAAGGCGACCGCAUCGCCUCGGCACAGACUCUUAGUGGCACCGGUGCCCUGCAUCUUGGCGUGCAGCUACUGCAGCGCUCCUCUGGUGGCUCCGGCACCGCGACGCUGCACAUCCCGAGCCCCUCCUACCCGAAUCACCUGAAUAUCCUGCAGCAUGUGAACGUUGAGGCUAGCUAUUACCCGUACUACAAUCUGAGUACGCAUCGCUUGAACAUCGAUGCCAUGCUCAACUAUCUGCGCCAGCUGCCCGCCGGCUCCGUCAUCUUGCUGCACGCCUGUGCGCACAACCCGACUGGGUGCGAUCCUACGCCAGAGGAAUGGCAGCAGAUUGUAGACGUCAUCUGCCGAAGCGAUCUCAUUCCGUUCGUUGACAUGGCAUACCAGGGUUUUGCGACGGGCGACAUCGAGCGCGAUGCCUACGUCCUGCGCGCGUUGAAUCAGCAAGAGGUCCCCACGUACCUGGUGGCCCAGUCGUUGGCGAAGAGCUUCGGUCUCUACGGGCAUCGCACUGGCGCCCUGCACAUCCGCUGCACCACGCAGAAGGAGAAAGUGAAUGUCCUGUCGCAGCUGCAGUCGACGAUUCGCGCCACGUACAGCAACCCUCCCAUCUUCGGUGCUCGCAUCGCGGACGAGAUUUUGCGGACACCGCAGCUGCGCGAGCUGUGGAAGUCGGAGCUGAACCAGAUGUCUAGCCGACUGCAGGAUGUUCGGCACCGUCUUGUCGCCCAGCUGCGCGCCUGUGGCUCGACGCGCGACUGGGAGUACCUCGAGAAAGGUGUGGGUAUGAUGUCGCUGACGGGGCUGACGGAGGAUCAGGUGAUGGCGCUGCAGCAGAAGUACAGCGUCUACCUGACGCGCAACGGUCGCAUCGCGUUUUCUGGACUGAGCUCGGAAAAUGUGGCCUACGUCGCUCAGUCCAUCCACGAUGUGUCCCGGUAGACGAUGAGCAGGUGCGGAGCGCGUGACUGAUGUGGCCCCCUUCCGUGCCAGCAGCAGGCUGCGUCGCUGCGCAUGCAUUCUCUCCAUGGCUCACUGCUGCAGCGAAGAUCAGCACACGCGCUCUCUGUGCAUGGCCGCGGCAUCGGACUGCGAGCGCAAAAUGCGUCGCAAUAGUUCUGUUGAGCGGUUCAGCUCACCCUUGCCCCAUCCCUCCGUGUGCGCCCUUCCUUCCUUCAUCGUCCGCGACCCGCUCCUGGGCGUCUCCAGCCGCCGAGUCGUACGGUACCGCACAUGAGGAGACGCACACUUGCAGGUUUUGGCAGACGCGCACACGCAAAGUGCUGAGAACGGGGGAGCGGGAGACGGAGAGGGAGACGGCGCCGACGUAGCAGCCGAAGGAGCACACAAGCGAGGAAAGGGAGCGGAAGGGCUCAAAAGCGGCUAAACACGAACAAACUUCGUACCGCCGACCGAAACGAGUUGCACGGAUGCGGUGCGGUGAGACCGCAAGACCACCCUAUCCCCCCCAACACCUGGGGGCGGCGGCGAACAUGUCUGCGUGCGCGCCAUUUGCCGUACACUGAGGCAUGUGAGUGCUCCUGUGCGUCGGCAAGAAAGGGGGGCGUCGACUGCGAACCCGGCCGAUCCUUCCUCCGGAAGGAAAGAAAACGAAGCGCCGCUGAGCCGUGGAGCGCCCGUGUACGGUGCGCUACACCGCUGCGGUGCCGGAAUGCAGAUGAAGGCACGCAUGCGCAUGCACGAAUCGCAGCGGCGCCUUCCCACGUGCCGCGGCAAUGGCGCCCUCCCUCGCCCCACGCCCCACCUCACUCUCCUGCAGGCGGACGGAGAAGGAGCGAGUGCCCAACAAACCCGGUGCAUGGGCGUCGGCGUCGCGCAGGUGUGGACUUACCGCUGUUCGUGCUCGUGGACACAAAGUCAUUGACUCCUUGCCUCCCCUCCCCCUACGCCACGUAAACUCACCCGGCAACUGCGAAGAGGCUUUCGCGGUUUCGAUGGCUGAUGCUUUUUGUGUAUAUCUGUGUGUAUGUGUGCCCUCGUAAUUGAUGCACGUGAGGCGCGCAGCGGGUGACGGUGGCAGCUCAUGAUGAUCUCUUGUUUUGUGGCGGUUCUAGGAGGCGAGGCGUCAAGUGCGACCACCCUCCUCCGCCUCCCUUCCUUUCGUAAGCCUCGAGCUCCGUUGACUGAGCACAUGGCAUGCCAUGCCACGCACACGCACACACACAUACGUACACACACGGCCCUCCCUUUGGUUACUUGCUCAGUUGUGUCGGCGUCGGUGUGGGUGCAGAGGAGAAGGAGGGAGAGCAUGCUUUUUCUGGCGUUGACAUCCACGCCCCUGAAACCCACCCCACGGCUCGCACCGUGCUGCCAUCCAUGAGAAUGGGAGGGGGAAAUGGGUCGUUGAUGACUGCAAGUGUUCCACGACUGC
rnacentral:misc_RNA from 1 species